ACUUGAAUUUUAAAGAAUCUAUUCUCAACCCUUCAUUAUUUUUUGUAGCUGGACAUAAUUCUUCAAGAUUCACAGGAAGCUAAAACAGCCGCCCAAGGAACAGAUGUUUGCAUUGAUACAUCGUGACGUGGACAGUUACAGAUGGUUUCCACAAAGUGGCUUUGGACUUAACAUCUUGGGUUGUAGGAGUUUGUCAGUGAGUAAGAACCAUGCCAGGUGGUCUGGAGAAGGCGUGUCAUCGGUGCAUUUCUAAAAUUGCCAGCAAUGGUGAGUCACAGCUCUGAGGAAUGCCCUAAAUUUGAAGGAUUUGAGGUUCUGGAUUUGAAUGAGUCAUGUGCUUGGCUCACUGAGACCCCAGGGUAGAACGAGGGAAAAGAAUAUCCUGCCCUCUGUUGGCUGCUUUCAGCUUCUGCUCCUUACUUAUUAAUCUGCAGUACAUAGUAUGUACUUUCAAUAUUAAUAUGUAUUUGAAAAUGUUUUUAUAAAUGGAGGCCCCGA
rnacentral:lncRNA from 1 species